rnacentral:rRNA from 1 species
UACGUAGGGUGCAAGCGUUGUCCGGAAUUAUUGGGCGUAAAGAGCUCGUAGGCGGUUUGUCGCGUCUGCUGUGAAAACGCGAGGCUCAACCUCGCGCCUGCAGUGGGUACGGGCAGACUAGAGUGCGGUAGGGGAGAUUGGAAUUCCUGGUGUAGCGGUGGAAUGCGCAGAUAUCAGGAGGAACACCGAUGGCGAAGGCAGAUCUCUGGGCCGUUACUGACGCUGAGGAGCGAAAGCGUGGGGAGCGAUCCGG